rnacentral:rRNA from 1 species
CCUGUGAGGGUUGCUGGAGGUAUCAGAAGUGCGAAUGCUGACAUAAGUAACGAUAAAGCGGGUGAAAAGCCCGCUCGCCGGAAGACCAAGGGUUCCUGUCCAACGUUAAUCGGGGCAGGGUGAGUCGACCCCUAAGGCGAGGCCGAAAGGCGUAGUCGAUGGGAAACAGGUUAAUAUUCCUGUACUUGGUGUUACUGCGAAGGGGGGACGGAGAAGGCUAUGUUAGCCGGGCGACGGUUGUCCCGGUUUAAGCAUGUAGGCUGGUUAUCCAGGCAAAUCCGGAUAAUCAAGGCUGAGGUGUGAUGACGAGGCACUACGGUGCUGAAGUAACAAAUGCCCUGCUUCCAGGAAAAGCCUCUAAGCAUCAGGUAACAUCAAAUCGUACCCCAAACCGACACAGGUGGUCAGGUAGAGAAUACCAAGGCGCUUGAGAGAACUCGGGUGAAGGAACUAGGCAAAAUGGUGCCGUAACUUCGGGAGAAGGCACGCUGGUGUGUAGGUGAAGUCCCUGCGGAUGGAGCUGAGACCAGUCGAAGAUACCAGCUGGCUGCAACUGUUUAUUAAAAACACAGCACUGUGCAAACACGAAAGUGGACGUAUACGGUGUGACGCCUGCCCGGUGCCGGAAGGUUAAUUGAUGGGGUUAUCCGUAAGGAGAAGCUCUUGAUCGAAGCCCCGGUAAACGGCGGCCGUAACUAUAACGGUCCUAAGGUAGCGAAAUUCCUUGUCGGGUAAGUUCCGACCUGCACGAAUGGCGUAAUGAUGGCCAGGCUGUCUCCACCCGAGACUCAGUGAAAUUGAACUCGCUGUGAAGAUGCAGUGUACCCGCGGCAAGACGGAAAGACCCCGUGAACCUUUACUAUAGCUUGACACUGAACAUUGAGCCUUGAUGUGUAGGAUAGGUGGGAGGCUUUGAAGCGUGGACGCCAGUCUGCGUGGAGCCAACCUUGAAAUACCACCCUUUAAUGUUUGAUGUUCUAACGUUGGCCCCUUAUCGGGGUUGCGGACAGUGUCUGGUGGGUAGUUUGACUGGGGCGGUCUCCUCCCAAAGCGUAACGGAGGAGCACGAAGGUUAGCUAAUCCUGGUCGGACAUCAGGAGGUUAGUGCAAUGGCAUAAGCUAGCUUGACUGCGAGCGUGACGGCGCGAGCAGGUGCGAAAGCAGGUCAUAGUGAUCCGGUGGUUCUGAAUGGAAGGGCCAUCGCUCAACGGAUAAAAGGUACUCCGGGGAUAACAGGCUGAUACCGCCCAAGAGUUCAUAUCGACGGCGGUGUUUGGCACCUCGAUGUCGGCUCAUCACAUCCUGGGGCUGAAGUAGGUCCCAAGGGUAUGGCUGUUCGCCAUUUAAAGUGGUACGCGAGCUGGGUUUAGAACGUCGUGAGACAGUUCGGUCCCUAUCUGCCGUGGGCGCUGGAGAAUUGAGGGGGGCUGCUCCUAGUACGAGAGGACCGGAGUGGACGCAUCACUGGUGUUCGGGUUGUCAUGCCAAUGGCACUGCCCGGUAGCUAAAUGCGGAAGAGAUAAGUGCUGAAAGCAUCUAAGCACGAAACUUGCCCCGAGAUGAGUUCUCCCUGAGACU